rnacentral:rRNA from 1 species
GUCUUGAAACACGGACCAAGGAGUCUAGCAUGUGCGCGAGUCAUUGGGAACAACUAAACCUAAAGGCGCAAUGAAAGUGAAGGUCCGCCUCGCGCGGACCGAGGGAAGAUGGGCGGACCGUCCCUAACACGCCCGCCCGUCCCGCACUCCCGGGGCGUCUCGUUCUCAUUGCGAGAAGAGGCGCACCAAGAGCGUACACGCUGGGACCCGAAAGAUGGUGAACUAUGCCUGGUCAGGACGAAGUCAGGGGAAACCCUGAUGGAGGUCCGUAGCGAUUCUGACGUGCAAAUCGAUCGUCGGAACUGGGUAUAGGGGCGAAAGACUAAUCGAACCAUCUAGUAGCUGGUUCCCUCCGAAGUUUCCCUCAGGAUAGCUGGCGCUCGUCGCAUACGAGUCUCAUCCGGUAAAGCGAAUGAUUAGAGGCAUUGGGGUCGAAACGGCCUCAACCUAUUCUCAAACUUUAAAUGGGUGAGAUCUCCGGCUUGCUCGAACCACUGAAGCCGCGAGAAACGGAUCAGAGUGCCAAGUGGGCCAUUUUUGGUAAGCAGAACUGGCGCUGUGGGUUGAACCAAACGUCGAGUUAAAGCGCCUAAAUCGACGCUUAUGGGAUACCAUGAAAGGCGUUGGUAACUUAAGACAGCAGGACGGUGGCCAUGGAAGUCGGAAUCCGCUAAGGAGUGUGUU